rnacentral:snoRNA from 1 species
UCUUCAGUGAUGAUCAGUACAGUGACUUUCGUUCUUCUGAGCUUCCUGAAGCUGCUAUUUCUGUCCUGAGAAGA